GACCACAGAAGCAACGUCGCUCUCAGACCCUGUCCCCACGUGGCAGUGGGGGGCUCUUGAAGGGGCUUAGAGGGGCCAGGCCCAGCCCAGAGAAGGUGUCGCGCCCUGUCCCACGCCUGGGGGCCGGCUCUCUAGGGACAGAGUGUGGCGCUGCAUGACUGUGGCGGAGGUCUCAGACCUACACGUGUCCGUCCCAACCGCGAAGCGUCCCCGGGACUCCCGAUGCCUGCCCCCAACACCCCAGACGGGUGGACCUGCUUCUCCAGCCUCUGGUAGGCUGAGCAAUGGCCCUUCCCGCCUCCCACCCCUACAGCAUCCCCCACGGACGUUGUUGCGGACCCGAUCCAAGUUCUCGUUCCCGGGAAACCCCGCACCGGGGUCUGCCCACUCGACCGCCUCGCCGGAUCACCUCUGGAUCACGCAACACCCUCCCACUGGGUUCCCUGCCGCCCCCGCCACCAUCUGUCUUCCACGCGGCAGCCGACGGAGCCUGAGAACACGCGCCGAGGGGUCUCCCCUCCGCUCACAGCCCCCGCGCGGCCUCGCUGCACCAGCCUGAGCGGAAGUGCGACCACGGGCCCCAGGCCGCCCCACUCUGCCUGCCCUGCUUUUUCCGCAGCACUUAGCGCCUUUUAAUCUACGACUUUAGGCCUGUGUUCUCUUUUUUGCUUUUUUCCUGUCGUCCCACACGCGGGCACUAAUUCCAUACAGGCCCAGGUCUGUCUGUUUUGCUCGCCGACAUACGAUGAGGGGGAGGAGAGGACGCAGCGCCUGGCCCAGGCCCGGCCCAUGGGAGGUGCUUAGUAAAUAUUUGCUAAGUGAAUGAAUGCACGGAAUGCAUUUCUAUUUCCAGCCCCAGCCAGGCCCCUGGCAACCCAGAAAGCAGACAGCUCUGCAAAGAAGAAAGCCCCAGCUCUCAGGGUUUGAGGACGGCUUCCGUUUGAAGGGCUGGCUGAGAAACAGGUUUUUCCCUCCUCGGAUCUCAGAUCUCCCAGCACCUCCUGCUGCCAGGUUUCCCCCCCCCCCCCCAGCAGCUGAGCGGACAGGCUGGGGGAGGGGAGGGGAGGUGGGGGCGGAGCACUGAGGCCCCAGGCUGUCCCUGCAGCUGUUCCCGGGGCAAAUGCCUGGAAUUCUGGGAUCAUUCCCACCGGCCAGGCCAAGCCCGGGGCAGCCGAGGGCUGACCCCCUCCAAGCCAGGAGGGCCUGCCUGCCACCGCCUUCUGUGUUCUCCCGAGAGAGCCGUGGGCCUCGUCCCGGAGCCCGAAGGCCAACCUCGUGGGAGUGACUGGCCCGAGUGUGCCCCCUCCCAGCCCUCUCUGGGGAGUCGCCGCUCAGCCUGGCCUGUUCACUGUCACACGCCCGAUGGCCCGGGCCGCUCCACAAGUCACACGGCAGAUUUUCCAUUAGCGUCAAACGGAUCCUGACCUGCAACUGAUGGACCCUCCGCAAAGUGAGGGACGUGACCCGGAUGCUACGAGACAGGAGGAUUCGUGAUUUGCCUGGUUGCAAGUGCCUACUGGAUGCUUCUGAGCCCCACACGUUUGUGGAGCACCUACUGUGUCCCUAGCACUGUGACCUCUGGGUGACCCUCGCCCCGCCAGGCAUGAGAAAGUCGGGGUGCUCCCGACAUGAGGUGUAAGGGCCCCGAGGGGCACUGUCAGCUGGGAGUGGAGGCAGGAAAUCUCUCCCCGGACUGCCAGGCACUGGUGCUUUCAACUUCCCAGAUACAAUUUCCUCUUCGUCUUGGGAACAAAAUCCCUUUGCUUCCCUUUAGCGAAACUUCCUUGCCCAAGCUUUACCUUCAUGAUGGCUUCUGUUGCUGGCUUACAGCCUCGCCAUCCCCAGGGUAGUCACAUGGGCUGGCCGCAGUCACGCAACCCAAGGCCAGCCAAAGAGAGAACUGCACGCCCCCACCCCCAGAAACCAGUUAAGGGACACCCGUGGUGACCCAAGUCCAAACAAUCAAAACGACGCUCAGGGUUUUGCUGGAAUGGUGAAGGCAGAAUGACCCUGGUCCUCCAAGUGGGGAGUCCUGAGGACCCCUUAGGCCUAGAGCUCUGGGGCCACCUUCGCCCGAGAGCAAAGCCAAGUGAAAUCAAGGUUAGAGUCUGAGUAAGAUGCUGCCCGGUGGCGUCUUUGAGCUGCGGCCGUGCCUAAAAGUUGGCUGCCUUCUACACUCUCCUGUCGAGUGAACCAGAAAACUCUUCGUUCCUGAAACGAGCUUCACUUGGGGCCCGUCCCUUGUAACCAAAGGAAUCCUCUGCACAACUGAAGUGUAAUUCUCAAUGUAUUGAAACGGGGUUCUCUAGACGCGUACGGGGAGCAAAGCAACGGUAAGGUACCGGGAAGAUAGAGCCUUCCUGGCUCUUGAAAGCGGGGAAGGGGAUCUCGGCUUUGGGCAGAUACAUGUGCAAACUCACCUCCUCCCUGGGCUCCUUCUGGAACUGCCCACACUGGCCUGGCCUCCAGAAAUCCGAACCCUGCUGCUGACAGGCUCCACCACUGGGGCAGCUGUGUUUAUGGCACUGGCCUCAUCGUCCCCCUGAGUGAUCAUCUCACCUCCCUGCUAGAUGGGACCCCGGCAGAGGCAGAGGAUGAGUUGUCUUUCCUCCGCAGCUGUCUCCCCACCCCCCGCCGCUGCCCAUCACAGAGCUUGGUAGACGGAUCGCCGUGUCGUCAGGGCAGUCUCAGUCUGAGCCUCCCGGCUUCCCUCUCCCCAUCCCCAGCACCUGCCACAUCUCCCCGAGGGUCAGGCCGGUGAGCCAGCAAUGGGUCCGGGGAGGGCCCGCAGCGCAUACAGCAGGCAGCACAGGGGCGGGUCCUGGUGACGUCAGAGAGCAACAAAGAAGUCGGGCUUCGGCUGCAGAGAGAUGAACCACCACCCAUCUCAUCACGCCCUUACCCUACUAGAGCCGCUGUUCUUGCCUGACUGAUUAGCAGCGUUGAGGGAAAGGAUUGUGCCGGGCGGCCUCCGUGGGCGCAGGGCUCCGGAUGCCUGUUUCUGGGAUUCAAGUGCCACUUAAUUUGGAAUAGUCCUCUGGGUCCAGAGCAGAAAGUGACCUCAGAGACGAGCCCGUCUCUGUCACGGGGCUGGGCCGCAGGACCUAAGUGAGCCAACAAGGGACACCCUCACUCAGCGUUCUGGAGGCUGGAGUGUGGGCCCCACACGUCAGCCGUGAUGUCCUCAGGCUUGGGUCACAUCACCCCAGUCCCUGCCUCCAUCGCCACCUGGCCUCUUCCCUGUGUGUCUGUGAGUCCUCCUCUUAUAAAGACACCAGCCGUCGGAUUUAGGGCCCACACUCACCGCUAGGACCUCACCUCAGCUUGAUUACGUCUGCAAAGACCUUAUUUCCCUAUAAGGUCACAUUGUGAUGUUGCAGGCGGAUGUGAGUUUGGGGGAACCCUAUUCAACCCACUCCAUCGUCCCCACAGUCCCACACAGAUGAGGAAACCGCAUCUGAACCGUGAGAUUUUUCAGGCCGGCUGGGAUCGACCUUGGAGCACAGCCUGUAUCCUUCCCGGCCCUGCCUUCCAACGACCAGCUCCCCUAGAAGCUCUGGGCCUUCAGCGCUUGGCCCCCUUCCAGCCGGCUGGGCUCCCCCGUCCUGGGCCCAUCCUCCCCCCUCCAGGGAGCGGUAAGGAGCCGUCUCCAGACACACUGUCAAGUGGAUAAAGCUGGAUGCAGUAGGCAGUGUGCUGUCUUUGGUGGAAUAAAAGAACACUUGGCCCUGAUGCUUCUGUCACCACACGUGGGGGCUUUGGUCCCCACCGCAAGCAAUUCUCCGCAACACCAGCUGGGCGUCCUACAAUUUAACUCAAUUCUGGCACCAUCCACCCAGAGACAGCGUCGGAUCCCGCAGGUUAGGGGCUGAGUCCCACGACACCCUACCCUUGUCACCCCCGACACCCUCCCUUCAGGUGCCAAUCACGACCAGCAGGGCCCAGCGGACCCACCGCUCCUGACCACGGGCUGCAACCAGGGUUCCCACGACCCUCCUGGGCUUCCAUCAGUUUGCUAGAGCGGCUCCCAGAUCUCCAGGAAACACGGUCACCGGGUCAUCGUGUGAUAAAGGAGGGGACAAAGUUGCAGAUGAGCAGUCGGAUGGAGGGGUGGGUACGGCGGGUCCCGGAGGGUCCUGAGCACAGGACCUUCUGUCCCGCAGACUUGGGGUGCGUCACCCUCUCGGCGGGGACGUGUGCACCCGCCCGGCAGCUCUCUGGGCCCCACCUGCUGGGAUUUGCGGGGCUUCCUCACGCAGGAGUGAGGUGGCUCAUCACCUCCAUACCCGGCCCCUCCCCCUCCCCGGAGAAUUGGGGGUCGGGGCUGAAAGUUCCAAGC